GUCUGUUUGAAGGUAUAAAAAGUUUAACCUGCCCACUGAUAAAAUUUUAAAGGGCCGCGGUAUUCUGACUGUGCAAAGGUAGCAUAAUCGUUAGUUUUUUAAUUGGAAUCUUGUAUGAAUGGUUUGACAAAAAAAAAUCUGUCUUUAUAAUUAUUUAUUGAAUUUAACUUUUAAGUGAAAAGGCUUAAAUAAAUUAAAAAGACGAUAAGACCCUAUAAAGCUUAAUAUUAUAUUUUUAUUUAAUUAAAUUUUAAAUUUUAUAUAAAAAUUUGGUAAAUAAAUUUUAUUUUAUUGGGGUGAUAAUGGUAAAAUGAUUAUUAACUGUUAAAUUUUUUAGACAAAAAUAAAUGAAUAAGUAAUUGUUAUAAAGGAUCCUGUAUUAAAGAUUAAAAGUUUAAGUUACUUUAGGGAUAACAGCGUUAUUUUUUUUGAGAGUUCUUAUCGAGAAAAAAGUUUGCGACCUCGAUGUUGAAUUAAAAUAUCUAUAUAAUUGCAGUAGUUAUAUAAGAAGGUCUGUUCGACCUUUAAAAUUUUACAUGAUUUGAGUUCAGACCGGCGUAAG
rnacentral:rRNA from 1 species